GCGGCGGGCUAGGGUGCGGGGCGGCGGCGGCGGCGGGGCUGCGGGGCUGCGGGGCUGCGGGGCCGGGCGGCGGCAUGGCGGAGAGCGAGGCGGAGACCCCCAGUACGCCGGGCGAGUUCGAAAGCAAGUACUUCGAGUUCCACGGCGUGCGGCUGCCGCCCUUUUGCCGCGGGAAGAUGGAGGAGAUCGCCAACUUCCCGGUGCGGCCCAGCGACGUGUGGAUCGUCACCUACCCCAAGUCCGGCACCAGCUUGCUGCAGGAAGUGGUCUACUUGGUGAGCCAGGGGGCCGACCCUGAUGAGAUCGGCUUGAUGAACAUCGACGAGCAGCUCCCGGUCCUGGAGUACCCGCAACCAGGCCUGGACAUCAUCAAGGAGUUGACAUCUCCCCGCCUCAUCAAAAGCCACCUCCCCUACCGCUUCCUGCCCUCCGACCUCCACAACGGCGAUUCCAAGGUCAUCUACAUGGCCCGGAACCCCAAGGACCUGGUGGUGUCUUAUUACCAGUUCCACCGCUCGCUGCGGACCAUGAGCUACCGAGGCACGUUCCAGGAGUUCUGCCGGAGGUUCAUGAACGACAAGUUGGGCUAUGGCUCCUGGUUUGAGCACGUGCAGGAGUUCUGGGAACACCACAUGGACUCGAACGUGCUAUUCCUCAAGUACGAAGACAUGCACCGGGACCUGGUGACCUUGGUGGAGCAGCUGGCCAGGUUCCUGGGGGUGUCCUGCGACAAGGCACAGCUGGAGUCGCUGACCGAGCACUGCCACCAGCUGCUGGACCAGUGCUGCAACGCCGAGGCCCUACCCGUGGGCCGGGCACAUUGCCUCUUUGCUCGGAAGACCUCCUUGCGUUGGUGAGAAUGCAGGGGCUUGAGUAGCCAGCUGCAUUGCUUAGAUUUGAUUCAUGUCACAGCAUAAAUUGCACUGUCUUGAGUCCAAAUCCUAAACCAGGAAGGGUCGGGCUGUGGAAGGACAUCUUCACCGUGUCCAUGAACGAGAAGUUCGACCUGGUGUACAAGCAGAAGAUGGGGAAGUGCGACCUCACAUUCGACUUUUAUUUAUAAUAUCAGCAACCGCACACUUGCAUGCUCACAGUACCCAGACACUAUAGCUCAGAGUCCCGUUUGCACUCAUUUGUUCCUUGCUGGACAGACUCUGGAAGUGAGACCCCGGGGGAGGGAGGGGACAUGGCUGGAGAAGCUGGAGAAAGCGGGUUUGAGUUCUGAUCCAGAGCAGCUGUCUCGCCUUUGAAGUCUAAACGUCUGCCCACAAAGAUGGCGAUUCUGGUGGACCACAUGUGUCACGUCUGUUAACAUAUGCAACUAGAGUGUCUACCUUUAUUACAACCCACACUACGUAUUGUAUUUUAUAGAGCUUUUCACUGGAAACCUAAAUAAAUGUCAGUAAACCAAAUAAAAGUUCAUUUACGAGGGGCUCAGGAGAGCCACACCCAGGUGGUAGGAAGCGCUCAGGGUUGACUUUAUUUUUUUUGUUGUUCACACGGCACAGCCAUUUGGUCCUCCCCUGGUGAGGACCGGGGUGAGGCUGGGGUGGGGGGCCCGUUUCCCUGGUGGCGCUCAGUUCUCAGCAGUCGCCCUGAGUUGCAGCAGAAGCUGUUCGCAGGGCGGGGGGCGUUUUCAAAGGCUGCCCUCCGGCCAGCGGCCCUGAGGCCGAUGCAGAGGACCUGGAGGGAUGGGCAUGUGACGCGGUGACCCAAGAACCGCCCCCCACCCCUACCCCCCACCUCAGCAGAGACAGACCUGCUCAGAACCUGACUUUUUGUUCCACGGUCUUUGAUUCCCCAAAGCAGAAACCUGCUUAUGUUGGCAAACAGAUGGCUUGAUAGUACUUUCUGGAACUCCUGGGUCUAUACCUACCGUUCAUUGUUGCGUCUGGGCCUGCGGCUCUCAGCCCCGCAGACCCACCCAGUGCGUGUGGUGCCCCGUCUUGGCCCGAAUGGGCCGGUGGGGUCACCUCGGUGCUGCUCCAGGGCCCGGAGGCAGGGGUCCACGCCAGGCCGGAGGAGCGACAAGAGGCGGCGGGCGAGCCGUAGGGCCGGCUGCCGACAUGCACGCGUGUCGCCGCCCCUGUGCACUGGGCUGUCCCGGCUGCGCAUGGCUGGGAAGUGCCUGGGGUGGUGGGGCCAGAGGAGUCACUGCCUCCGCCGGAGGGUCUGUGCUGAGGGCGGACGCGAGCGCUUCAGUCGUUUUGUCCAGGAGAGCAGCUUGGACGGGGCAGGUGGUCCGUGGCAUCGCACGGUGGGCUUGGCAGCACCUUUCUUCUGUGUAUCUGCGAGGGCGGCUGCUUUCUGUGAAAUUUGUUUUCUAUUUUUCUAUUUUUAGUACUGUAUGGAUGUUACUGAGCACCACGCGUGAGACUUCUCUGUGCUUGCUUGCAUCUUUAAUAAAGACAUAUCCCAUG